rnacentral:lncRNA from 1 species
UCAACAAAAUCUUCAUAUCCACCAGGAAGAGGACACCAUCAAUUGACCUUGUCACGAUCCCCUAUUUAAAAAUCAAGUUGUUUUGAUAAAAUGAUACAGUCUGAGUUCCUUACAUAUUUUAGGAGGUGUUUGUUUAGCCUGUUUAAAUAAAUUAAAAGUAAUUAAACGUUUUAUUGCUGGCAGUUUGCAUGUCUGUGGUUUAAAUGUAUUUUUGAGCAAAAUCCUCUAAUUAUUAAAAGAAUUAAACAAAUUUUUCCAAGUAAUAUGAAGAAACAAAUAUACAUAUCUAGUUCAAUAUUAUGGUUAACGCUCCUUUUAUCAAUAUCUACUACGCACAGUAGAUUAGAAAGAACAUUUAUAGAUGAGAAGUAUAAAACAUUGGUGCGAAGACUCAAAAUCCGACUAGGGACUCCUAGUCAACACGCUGUAAGAACUGCAAAAAA